rnacentral:rRNA from 1 species
UAAAUCUUGGCGGUGGAUCACUCGGUUCGUGGAUCGAUGAAGAACGCAGCCAGCUGCGAUAAAUAGUGCGAAUUGCAGACACAUUGAGCACUAAAAUUUCGAACGCACAUUGCGCCAUCGGGUUCAUUCCCGCUGGCACGUCUGGCUGAGAGUCGAA